CAAGGUUGCAGAGACCACAGAAGAGCUUUCAAAGGCACAUAAAGCAGCUGGGAAUUGAAGAUGAGAUUGAAAAGUGUCACAAUUGGCUGCAGGAGGAGAUGCUGAAUGAAUUCCCUCAAAUACAGGAGAACUGCGGUCCCUUUUGCUGGUGGAACGCACACUGAGGUCACAAGCACCAAUAAAAACCACAUGGGAGUAUUUUCCAAUGAAACUACAAUUUCAAGUGAAGAUAAUAACAUUUAUAUAACCUACCGGAAUGAAGCACUGUGAGGACUCACUAACCAACGUCUACAGAACAUUCAUAGAGCAAGAAAGAGGUAAUGUUCCAAGUAAGUGUUUGUGGUUAUUUUU
rnacentral:lncRNA from 1 species